GAUGAACGCUGGCGGCGUGCCUAAUACAUGCAAGUCGAGCGAAUGGAUUAAGAGCUUGCUCUUAUGAAGUUAGCGGCGGACGGGUGAGUAACACGUGGGUAACCUGCCCAUAAGACUGGGAUAACUCCGGGAAACCGGGGCUAAUACCGGAUAACAUUUUGAACCGCAUGGUUCGAAAUUGAAAGGCGGCUUCGGCUGUCACUUAUGGAUGGACCCGCGUCGCAUUAGCUAGUUGGUGAGGUAACGGCUCACCAAGGCAACGAUGCGUAGCCGACAUGGGAGGGGGAUCGGCCACACUGGGACUGAGACACGGCCCAGACUCCUACGGGAGGCAGCAGUAGGGAAUCUUCCGCAAUGGACGAAAGUCUGACGGAGCAACGCCGCGUGAGUGAUGAAGGCUUUCGGGUCGUAAAACUCUGUUGUUAGGGAAGAACAAGUGCUAGUUGAAUAAGCUGGCACCUUGACGGUACCUAACCAGAGAGCCACGGCUAACUACGUGCCAGCAGCCGCAGUAA
rnacentral:rRNA from 1 species